ensembl:lncRNA
ACAAAGCGGUGUACUUUACAUUGUUGUUAAAGUAAAGUGUAAUACUGUACGUUACUCACUGGCUCGCUGUUUCAGACGCUAUUCCUCCGCUCCCGGAGCCCAAACCCCGGAGUGCGGUGUUUUACCCACAUCGCUUACUGAUGCUCCUCGACUAGCGAUGGGGGUCGCGUUCCGAUAAACCCACCGUAAGUGGAAAAAUCGUACGCGGAGAAAGGAUGCAGCGUCUUGAGUUCGGUCUCGAGUAAUUGUUUCCGCGGGAACGGAUCGAAAUUCAAAAUACGGAUUCUACCGAAUGCGUAUCGCUAUUGUGGCGUCGUAACUUGGGAAAAAUCGUAAGCCGAGCCGUCGUAAGUAGAGGAGCAUCCGUACGUCUUCCUUCAGGGGACUUUGUCAUUUCGGAGCAUCAAGUGGUCGAUGCUCCGGGAUUUGUUCUGCAGCCCUGUGAGUUACAGUUAUGCAUUUAGCUGAUACUUUUCUCCAAAGUUACAAUGUUAAGGUCACUAUCUACACAUUUAUAUGGCUGGAUGAUUUUUAGAGAAGCAAUUUAGGGUAAGUACAUCACUCAAGGGUACUACAGCUAGAGGUGGGGAUCGAACCCACAACCUUUGGGUCUAAAGGCAGCACCUCGGAUCACUAAGCUACCAGCUGCCCCUUUUUCUGAAACAUGCCCUGGUCCUGUAGCGCGGGCCUCGGAUAGUAUGAUUCUCUAGUGGGAACGGACGAGAGCCAUGUGUUGGACAGAAGAAUUCGAAGUUUAGAGUUGCAGUAAUUGCCUACAUUCAUUUGAAAACUAAAGCCAACUUUUUUUUUUUUUUUUUUUUUUUUCCAGGGAACAGUUCACGUAAGGAACACUCCUGUGAUUUUAAGAGGAUUAAUUUACACUACCCUACGCUUCAUUUUACACCCGCUGUAUUCACGCUGCAGCGGGAAUCAAAGUGGGGCUUGUCCGCAGUCUGCCAGCAUCUCGGAAGAAGGCGGCUCUGUGUUACCCGUGGAGGUUGAGGGCGGGCCGCGAUUCCCGGGAAAAGGACGUGAGUGCCCGCUGCCAUUUUCCUCUGGAAACUCCUACCCCCAUGAACAGUUACUGUGGAAACGAACAACACUCACAGCAAGACGCUCCGCUGACCGAGUUCCUACCUGGGCAGCGCGAAGAGGAGAUAUUACACAGUAGAGAAGCCAGGGAAGAUGCGGGUUGUCGACACUGGGAAGCCAUGAUGUCGCAGCCCCGUUACUGAGGUUGUGAGAGCAGCUCCCAGAAUUACAAGCGAUAGCUGAGAGCUACUUGCCCCGGACAAACACAGCGUGGAAGACGAGGAGUGUGGGAGAGAAGCACUAUCAGCGUUUGAGAGUAACCUGACACGCAGCGCUCUGCAGGUCCAGUCGCUUGUUCUCAUACAAAUAACACAAUGCACCCCCCCAAGGUGUACGUCCGCUGUUUCUUUAUAUGUCAAGCCGUGUUCAUCGUGGCUUGCUUGAAUUUUUUUUCUUUUUUUUAAUUAAGCUUUUGCAUCUUAAGAAAAUUCCAUAUGAGAUUUAACACAAAUGUGCAGUCUUUUAAAUAAGUCUCGUGAGGCUUUGUUACACACUUCUCCCUAAUGUCUCUUCAGGGCUGAAGAGCUGAAGUGAGAUUUGAGGGACGGCCAUAGAUGCUGCAGGACCUUCUUAGAGAUCGGCAGCAGUUCAUCCAGCCCCAGAUCUAUUCACAGAGGAAGCACGGCCGUGGAGUUGGUCAGAGCCGGUGUCCCGGUUAACGCUUUUGGACAAUUAUCAAGUUCAGCAUAACGGUCAAACAUACUCCAGCAUCAGGACUCCAGCAUCAAGACGUGGGGUCGUGUUCUUCACCCUUCAUGCUCUUUUCACCCUAACUUCAGAAACCAGUCCCCACUUAUACUGACUUCACGUGAAGAGUGGAACUGAACCCGAAACACAUGGACUUUGCGAAGAAUAUUCCAAAAGAUCAUUCAUUUUUAAAACAAUUUGAGCCAUAUUUAAAACUGGUUCAUCAUUCAUAUACUGUAGCUUAAAUGGAUUUUAGCAUUUUACCAGUUAAAUAUGUUUGGAUGGUUUAUUUGAGAUGCCCGGUCCUCCUUGCCUUCUCGACCUGAGUAAUUUUGAUCUUGUACAAAGUGUGUUUUACAAUGGUUCUGAUGAGGAUGCAAAAAUUAUUUUAAAAUCCAUAA